rnacentral:misc_RNA from 1 species
GAUGAAGAACGUAGUGAAAUGCGAUAAGUAAUGUGAAUUGCAGAAUUCCGUGAAUCAUCGAAUCUUUGAACGCACAUUGCGCCCCCUGGUAUUCCGGGGGGCAUGCCUGUCCGAGCGUCAUUGCAACCUUCAAGCGCGGCUUGUGUGUUGGGUCUCGUCCCCCGUGGACGGGCCCGGAAGGCAGUGGCGGCGUCCCGACAUGGUGCCCGAGCGUAUGGGAAUCCUCUUCCGCUCGAAUCGGCCCAUGCGGCGCUGGUCGUAACCAAAUUUUUUACCGGUUGACCUCGGAUCAGGUAGGGAUACCCGCUGAACUUAAGCAUAUCAAUAAGCGGAGGA